rnacentral:rRNA from 1 species
GGACUACUGGGGUAUCUAAUCCUGUUUGAUCCCCACGCUUUCGCGCUGCAGCGUCAGAAACUGGCCAGUGAGCCGCCUUCGCCACCGGUGUUCUUCCCAAUAUCUACGAAUUUCACCUCUACACUGGGAAUUCCACUCACCUCUCCAGUCCUCAAAGCCUCGCAGUCCCAAAGGCCAUUCCCGAGUUGAGCUCAGGCAUUUCACCUCUGGCUUGCAAAACCGCCUACGCGCGCUUUACGCCCAGUAAUUCCGAACAACGCUAGCCCCCUUCGUAUUACCGCGGCGGCUGGCAC